GGGGUUGUGGCUCAGAGGUAGAGCACUUGUCUUGCAAGCAUGAGACCCUGUGUUCCUGGGUUUGAUCCUCAGCACCA
rnacentral:tRNA from 1 species